rnacentral:lncRNA from 1 species
CACAGUUCAAGUGGACAAACUUACAAGUUACAACUAGAACUAAGACCAUAAUUCUCACUAAUAAUUUGCUUGGGGGAAUGGAUGCAAGCUUCUGCAGUGCUUCCUUCAAGUCGCCACUGCCAUUGAUUGCAGGUAACUUGUGCACUCCUUCAGCAGCCACCAAUAUUGUUAUCUGGUAGAAAUUCAUAGUCAGGAAAUGAAUAUUCAUUAUAUCAAAAAGACGAGAGAGGAUGAGACAUUAACAUAUUAUAUUGCAGUGUCUAUCGAGAUUUUCAGAAAUCAGGAACAUAUUAUAGUGCAACCCUGAGAUCACAAUAAAGAAUUGGUUCUCACAUUAACACAACAUAUCCAUAUAUAGACACACCACAAUAUAAAGGCGGCAAAAUAUAUAUUAUUCUCCAAAGAUGAGGUCGAUAAGUUCAUAGUUAUUGUCACAUUGUAUAGACGCACCGCAAUAUAAAGGCAGCAAAAUAUGUUUUAUUGUCAAAAAAUGAAAUCAAUACGUAUGCCUAUUUAUCUUGUAAGUUGCAACCACUAAUUCUUCUUAAAACCUAACCAAUGGUACAGUUCCUUUCAUGAGUUUGUCAUGUAUAUAGGCAUAGAAACAACCACGAAAUACUAUACUAUACAGAGGAUGUCAGUCGUGUGGUAAGAGGAUGAUCAAACCCAAGUUGCUUUGGUUUAAUCUUAUGGGAAACAGGAAACACAAAACAAAAAGAUAGCCAAUCAAAGUGAAUCAAGAUGUCAAGUAGGCUUUACAGUGAUGCUAAUGCAUGAUGCCCACAAUCGCAAGGACUAAAGGCCACACAUUAUCAGCUUGCAUGCAAUCAGUGCAUCCAUACCAGAAUAUUCUUGGAUUGAACUAAAACUGGUCAUGUAUUUUAAGACAGGUUAUCUUAGUUGAC